GACGAACGCUGGCGGCGUGCCUAAUACAUGCAAGUAGGACGCAGUUGCGAACGGGUGAGUAACGCGUAGGUAACUGCCUAUUAGAGGGGGAUAACUAUUGGAAACGAUAGCUAAUACCGCAUACUAGUAGAUGGACCUGCGUUGUAUUAGCUAGUAGGUAGGGUAAUGGACUACCUAGGCGACGAUACAUAGCCGACCUGGGAAGGUGAACGGGCACACUGGGACUUGGACACGGCCCAGACUCCUACGGGAGGCAGCAGUAGGGAAUCUUCGGCAAUGGGGGGAACCCUGACCAAGCAACGCCGCGUGAGUGAAGAAGGUUUUCGGAUCGUAAAGCUCUGUUGUUAAGGAAGCAGUACUUAACCAGAAAGGGACGGCUAACUACGUGCCAGUAGCCGCGGUAAUAC
rnacentral:rRNA from 1 species